ACCGUCAGGCCGGGCCGGAGCCGCGCAAAACAAAGCCGCGAAGCGGGGCCGGUGCUGACGUGCUGCGUCCCGCCCCCACCCCGCGAGACCUUCCCCUGCCGCCGCUGCCGCCGGGCUGCGUCGCGGGGCCAAACAACUUCCACGUUCCGCGGCGCUGCGCCGGGGUCCGCCCUUGGAUUGUGCCUUGAUGCGCCUGUCACCCUGGCGUCGGGCCUUUCCGCGGGUUACGUUUUUGUCGGGACACCACGGAGUCAGCUGGCCCCGGCUCUUGUAACCCAGCCCCGGGACUCGGCUAAAAGUGGCCAUGCCCUCACUCGGACAUCUGGCUGGAACGCCUCCCACCCCUGGCCGGUGCGGGCCAUGGACAUGGGCUCCACAGAGUAUUUUGAGGUUUAAUGCAUUACUGUUCGUAAAGUGCUUGAAAUCCUCAGCUUGGAAGUGCCUUAUAAGUGUAAAAUAUUGUUAUUAUUGAAAUAUCAUGAGUGAGAUGUCAUAAGAAAUCUAGGCUUGUAUACCCUUGAAGAGGUAGAAGAAAAGAGCCAUUUGCAUUGAUCUGGAGGAGAGAGAAAACCUGAGCAUGAUGCAAAGACAUUCUGCCCCGAAUCAAAUUCACAAUUAAGCAUUGUAACUUUUCAAGUGACUUUGAGGUACAGUAUAAAACAGAAAGGACAGUGUGUCUGCUAAUAGGCUGGACAGUUUCCCAAACUUUUGAAAGAAAGAAAAUUAAACCAAUCACACCCAACUUCAGCACCAACAUGAGCAGUCAGUCAGGAAGAUCUAUGCAAUCUUGUCUUAUAGAAUACUCCUUUCAUACAUGCUUAGAUGAACAGUACAGUUGUUAAUGCUGAGGUAUAAAGUAUCAUUGACAUCUGAAUUAGUGCACACUGAAAUCAACAGGGUAGUUCAGAUCUCAUAUUUAUUGUUUCAGACUCUCUUGCAAAUUUGAGUAGUCACAGCCAGGUCACAUGUUGAAGGUUUUGAAAUGGAGAGAAUGGACCGGUUGUAAAAAAAAGCAUUUUAAUCAAGUGUCUGAUUCUGCUUUCAUUGCACUGUGUUGUACCUUACUCUGAGUAAUUUCAAGGGGAACACUGACUGAGCACAGUACUAUUACUCAUGAGUGUGGGUAGCAGUCUUGGGCCCCGAAUGAUUAUUUGGCUAUAAAUUAUAUUAAUUUACAGCUGUCUCUACAUUUGUAGGCAUGUAUUACUGUAUGGGUCAGGCCAAAUUCUACUUGUAGUUGUAGUAAUGGAAUCCCAUUCGUCAGAGCACAAUUUUGCUCCUUACUUCUUGCUAUCAUCUGGUUUACGUGCAUCAUCAGUAACUAUUUUUAUACUAUAUCCCGGGGUGGCUAACCUGUGGCUCCGGAGCCACAUGUGGCUCUUCAGAAGUUAAAAUGCAGUUCCUUGUAUAGGCACCGACUCCGGGGCGGGAGCUACAGGUGCCAACUUUCCAAUGGGCCAGGGGGUGCUCACUGCUCAACCCCUGGCUCUGCCACAGGACCUUUCCCCACUCCACCCCUUCCCACCCCCUCCUCUGACCCUAUCAUGCCCUUGCUCCUCCCCAGAGCCUCCUGCAUGCCACGAAACAGCUGAUUGGGAGGUGCAGGGAGGGAGGAGGAGGCGCUGAUCAGCUGGGCUGCCGAUGGACAGGAGGCACUGGGAAGGGAAGAGCUGAUGGGGGGCUGCUGAUGUAUUACUGUGGCUCUUUGGCAAUGUACAUUGGUAACUUCUGGCUCCUCCUCAGGCUCAGAUUGGCCACCCAUUUUAUACCAGCAAUGUAAGCCCAUGUAUCUGAGAGCAUGAUUCAGUUCUCAAGCCUAAAUUCUGUCCCCAGUUUCAUGGUGUGACUGACAGUGGAAUUUGGUUCCUAACUUUUUCAGUGUAAACAUUAUGUUGUUUGUCCUUUUUCUAAACUGCUUGUUUCCAUGCACAUAUAUACAACUUCAUUUAAUCAGUGAGUGUAUGAUCUAAGAAUAUUUAGAUUACUAUAUUUAGAAUAUUCCAGAUUAAUUACUUGAUAUGCUCCACCAAAACUAUAAAGAAAACUUUCAUUGUGUAGCCACUGUACUGGGCCUGUUUUUCCAUACUGUUGCACCAUUUUUACACUGGUAAAGUCAAUAGAGUCACAUCAUCAUAAAAUUAGUGUAAAGGAAGGAAUAAUCAGGCAACUUGUUUUAAAAUUGCAAUUUGGGAAUGUGUCAGUUAUGGACUACAAAUAUAUUAAAUGUGUCAGGCUUCAUGAGAAUAAUACAUUAUUCGGCUGUUGUAAGAAGUUAAAAUUUGUACCUUUUCUCCCUUAAAAGCAAAAACAAUCCUUAGACUAGAAAAGAUAAAUGAUAGAAGUACUAUAACAUUUACAAAAUAUUUCAAUUUUUUAUUACCAAUAACUUACAUUCAAAUAAAUUAUCUUUAAAAUACUAUGAUACAUUUUUACAUCAAGUUUAAAUUAGAAAGUUUUAGAGGUGGCAUUAGCACUCCAUAUAGUUAGCAAUCAGAUUCUAUUCCUGAAUCUUGCUCCAGUUCAACAUUGUCAUCUUCACUAUCUGAGUCUUCAUAAAAGGAAAUGGUAGCUUGAACUGGGAAGUUUUUCAGAAGUGCUUCAGCUUCUUGAUAUAAGUAAUCAUAGCACCUUGAUUUGGGCCAAAAUAGUCUGAAAUAAAUAUACAAUGUUUUGUGUAUUUAUUAUUGUUAGAUAAUAUCCUUUGUGUUUCUUGUCUGUCAGCCUCCGAGGACAGGAAAGUCUUCUGUGUUUCUAACAGACACCAACUCUUCCCCCCAACCUACACAAGUAUAACUUGCUGAGUCAGCACUAGAAAAGUUUCUCAUGUCUGAUAGAGAUAUUUUGAAAUUUAAAAUUUGUCAAAAAUACAGAUCUAAUAGAAGCCUCAAAUCUACUACCAUACAGAAUGUAGAAUCAAAAACUAACCUGAAUCCUGAGAUCCACUUCUGUAACUCAGCCUCCCUGCUACCCAAUUAACUGAAGUUCUACAAUAUGGUCCAAAGACUAUUUAAGAUGAACAUAAAUUACGUGGAUUGCUUUGUUACUAAGGGCCAUAUCCUCCUCUCACACCCGUGUAAAUCAGGAUCAACUUUACUGAAGUUAUGGUGUUACAAAGGUGUAAAUCUGAUGUAAGAAGAGAAUCAGGCCCAUGGGUUUUACCACAGAACUCAAUAGUUUUAAUCUAAAAGAAAAAAAAUCACUAGGUCUGAUUUGCCUCUCAUACCAGGUUUACGCUUGUGUGACUUCACUGACUACAGAGAUCCUGAUCUACACCAGAGUAUAUAACGAGUUUUCAAAGAUGGAGAAAAGGGAAUAAUAUAAUCCAAAUGUCAGUUGAGAACUAUACUGGUUUGCUUUGUGUAUGCUAUAUUGUUUACAGUGCAUUAUUAUGCAUGUACAGUAUGUGGACUGUUUUUCAUUUUUGACAAUAUAGCGAGGUUUAUACACAUUUACAAUAAAACGGAGUUGAAAGAAAGCAUUCAGAGCAAGAGUAACUUCUCAGGAUGAAACUAAAACCUAUAUUUUCUUCCCACUUGUGGACUACAUGCAGCUUGUAUCCGGUGGGUCUAGUUUUUCAAACUGAUCUCCUGUAUUGUGCCCACAGAUUAUAAACACCAAUGACAACAAUAAGACUUUUUUCCUACCUUAUUGGCAGGGACAUCCAACUAAUAUAAUUUACACUAUCAACUAAUCACAACAAAUUGCAAGCAAAAAUGGGAGGUGAAUUUAAAAAACAAAGAAAUGAAACGUAAGUUUCUAAAGGUAAAUGGACACUAACCACUUUGUCACCAGCACCAUUUGAUAUAUUUCCCUGUGCAAUGAUUCAUAAACACUGGUUACAUAUCCAUAACAGAAAUAAUUAAUAUAAGAGGAGGUUUAUUUACUUAUUCAAAAAUACUUUCUAAGUCAGUUGUAAAUAACAAAUUAUACUAGGCUACAUCUUUCUUCUGAACAUCGUAUCUUUUUCACUCAAGUAGUUUGUAUCACAUUUCCUGUUCACUUUUAGUGGGUAAGCCACAAUCCUGAAGAGACUCUCUCACAUGUUUGCAUCUAAGUAGUCCCACUGAGGUCAAUACAAUUACUCAAGUGUGUACAGAAUCGGGCCUAAAUUUGUGACCACUUUGUGUCCUACCUAAAAUACUAAUUUGUGUAAUUACAUUCUGCCUUCUUAAAUCACCUGGAUACCAUAAUGACUAGCUCUCAUUACAUGCAACAGAUAAAUCCUCUACAGUUUCGGCUAUAGUAAUCUUCUUUACUUCCUGACCUGAGCUGUUAGUGGUGUGUGCUAUCAAACAGCUGUCAAGUUUCACCUCAGGGAUGGUCACAGACCUGCAAGGUAUUCUGAACGUGUCAGAUGGAAGAAAACCCGCUUGGUCCUCCCCAUCUCCCUGCCGGGGCAGUAUUAUUGGCAGAUUUGAGACACUUACCACGCUUUGAUUUCUUCUCGGCUGUCUCUCUGCAUCGCUUUCGGUGGGGAUCCAAGGCCUCCAGAAUUCCCCGGCCCUGCGGAAUCAAGGAAACAGCCUGUUAAAUAGAGAUGAAAGCUCACCUAACCCUAUACUGGCUGCUCAGUUUCCACAGCCCGAUGGGUGGAAGAGACGUGGGGAAACCAGGAGUGUGAUCACAAGAGCAAUUGAUCGGUUGGAAGGAAGGCGCGGGGCGUGCGCUGAGCUGGAGGAAGUGCGGAUACCCAUGUUGUCCUUUGGAACAUCUCCGGGAGCUAAACCCGCGAAGUGGAGGGCAGCAGCAGAUGGGUGCGCUCUCCAUGCUCCGCCGCUACAGCACGGGAUCCGGACGAGGGAGUGGUGCUGCUUUGCCGAUGAUGAUCCUGAAGUAGAUCAGUUCUCCCGCUAGCCCGAGGCUGUGGGGCUUUUAUAGUCCCCGGCUAAUGACUAUUUAGGAGUCCACCCCCUCCCUUUCCUUUGCUAGUCAGAUAAACAAAAAGGCUACGCGUGAAGGCGCAUCAGUGUAAACAAGGAGCGUGGACGCGUGCAAGUCCCAAAUGGCCCAGGGAGAGAUUUGGCAAGUCAGUGUUAAUCACACUUGAACAGACACGGCUGCUGUCAUG